rnacentral:lncRNA from 10 species
AGCCUGGGAGACAAGAGUGAAACUCUGUCUCAAUAAAAAAAAAAGAAAGAAAAGAAAGAAAAUAAAAGCAUCGAUAGUGUAUAUAGAUCAAAGGAGGAAGGGACAUUUUCCUUAGAAUAAAACUUUAAUAACGAAAACAAUAAACUCCCUCCUUUCCACUCGUAGAAUAGUCAAGCACUCAUUUCUCAUUUGCUUCUCAGCCAUCAGCUGUCCUAAUCUGUUAUCUAUUACGCUGUGUAACGAAACUCGUCCCAAUCUAGUAGCUGAAAGCAACAACCAUUUAUUAUGGCACAUGUCUACAUGGUGGCUGGGUGGUUUUGGUGAUUUGGGCCCAGGCUGGCUGAAUCCAGGUGGGCUUGUUCAGUGGUCCCUGGCAGUUGGGUUGGGGGCUGGCCUGUCUAGCAUGGCCUCAGGUAGGAAGAGUUGGCUCUGCUCCACAGACUGACCCGUGCCUGUUCUCUUCCUCUGGCAGGUUAGUCCAGGCUUGUUCUCUCAGUGGAGACAGGGGUCCUUUUAAUGAGGCAUUGCAAACUCACAUUGCCAAGGGUGUGGAUACAGAAGGUCACUAGUUGUGGCCAUGAAUGCCAUCCAUCUAUCAGACCUGCCAACGUAGUUUUUCUUUUAGGGGCGGACUUAGUCCGAUUUCAGACAUUAGUAAAACUGAUUCGGAUUCCAUUUCCAAAUUCCUAAUUCCAAGAGAACUGGAAAAGCAGAGCGUGCCAACCUCUUAUAAUCCUUCUUAAUGUGACAAAUGUUUCUACAGCGUCCACUGAGCCAGGCUCAGUAGGUCCCUGGGACAUAUAUGAAACAACAGUUCUCCUGCCCUCCAGGUGCUCAGCACAGCAGGAGAAUCCCGGCUGGGAACAGAGAGCAAAGCGACCACAUAGCUCUAGUGGGAAUCCUGGGGAAGUGGUAUGUGGUCUUGAAUAGUGACUUAGAGUUUUCCAGAAAGAGAAGGAAGGGGAGUUCAUUCUAGAGGCCUGGAGGAUGUAAAGAUGGUUGUGUUUUCAUGAAACCGAGCUGUGGACACAAAGGGCAAGGCCAAGGUUGCAAGGGGCCUUGCCCGACUCUCUGUGGAGAGAGGAUUUUAUUGUGAAGGGUCCACGAAGUCACCGCAGGGCUUCAGCUGGAUGAGUGUGCUCUGCUUGGCCUGUUGGAAAGAUUGCUGGGGCAGCAGGGAGGUGAAGAGGAAGCUAAAGAUAGGGUGACCAGUUGGGAGACUAUUUCCAGUCCAAAUACAUCCUCUUGGGUUUGAGUUUCUGUGACCGUCCUCCUGCUGGCUGGAACUGGGAGGUCCUCUGGGGUCUCUAAACGCUCUCAGUUGCUUGCCUAGAGUUAUGCAAGCGGGCGUGGGGUCGGGGCAGGACCAGGAAGCUUUGCGCUUUCUGCUCUUGGCUGAUUUCAUAACAGGUUAGCUUUUAAACUUCUGGCUCAUUCCAGACACUAUGCCUCUGGCCCUGGGAGAGAACUUGGUCUCCCAGACCGCGCAUAACAUUUCCACUUUCCGGCAAACACAGUCUGUGCGUGAUCAGGUGAGGCUGGCGCACACAAAUCCUUGAUGUCUAGACCGCCUUUCUCCAGCUGCUGUGUUUACUGCAGAAAGGUUCCAUCCUGGGAUGAUCGCCUGGGGGGAGUUUUCUUCUUGCGACACCUAGUUCAGCUCUGCUGAGCUUUUGGAUUCCCAGCCUUUCUCCCACCACAACCCGGUGGUCAUGAAGUCUCACAGGAAGUGUGGUAGGCACAAUAAUGGUCCCCAAGGAUGUCUAGGCCCCCAUCCCUGCAACCUGUAAGUGUGUUGUUACACGGCCAAGGGGAUUGAAUUAACAGAUGGAAUGAAG